AGGGAAUAUUAGUAAUGGGCGAAAGCCUGAACUAGCAACGCCGCGUGUGCGAAGAAGGCCUUCGGGUUGUAAAGCACUUUUUGAGAGGAUGAGGAAGGACGGUACUCUCAGAAUAAGUCUCGGCUAACUACGUGCCAGCAGCCGCGGUAACACGUAGGAGGCGAACGUUAUCCGGAUUUACUGGGCGUAAAGCGCGUGUAGGUGGUUUGGUAAGUAGGGCGUGAAAGCUCCUGGCUCAACUGGGAGAGGCCGUUCUAAACUGCCGAACUAGAGGAUGGUAGAGGGAGGUGGAAUUCCGGGUGUAGCGGUGGAAUGCGCAGAUAUCCGGAGGAACACCAGUGGCGAAAGCAGCCUCCUGGACCACUCCUGACACUCAGACGCGAAAGCUAGGGUAGCAAACGG
rnacentral:rRNA from 1 species